CCUAAAUACCUAAAUCUACUAUUAGUUUGAAAUCCUAACUUCACACUCGUGAGUCGACAAUACUUCUCCUCUCCUCCUCUCAAACUCGCCGGCCGCCGCUGCCCUCUCCACUUUCCAUUGUCUCCAAGACUCCAGUCACUUCCCUGUUGAUUUCGCUCCCAAGUCCUUCUUCUUCUUCUUCUUCUUUUUCUUCUUCAUUACUCGUCUCUCCUGCUCCCGUCCUCUCCUCUCAAACUCGUCGGCCGCCGCUGCCCUUUCCACUCUCCAAGACUCCAGUCACCGCCGCUUCCCUCUCGAGUCUCCAAAAACUGAAGAUUUUGGUGGUCAGGGAAGGAGAAAGAGAAAUGAUGCUUCACCAAAUGAUGAAUUGACAGACCUUGAGCACGGUGAUGCAGUACUGGUGAUUCCGUGAUUGCACUUGGCCAAUUAAAGAAUGCUUAAGCCUUAAAGUGGAGGGGAGAUGCCAGUUUACAACUUUCACUUGUUAUUUCUUAAUCACUUUUGUACUUGGCCAUUAAAAUUGAAAGGAACAGUUUAUAUUUUAUGAUAAUGUAAUUGGUUAUUAUUAGUUAUUAUGCUUGAAUGAGAAGAAUUCAGCAGCAUUAAUUGGU